GCGCGGCCCGCUGGAGAGAGCGCGGCACAUCGGAGUAGGCUAGAAGAUCCCAAAAUCCUUGAGGAAAAAGCAAUCCACAAAAUAUCAAUCAAACAAGUGAGAAGGCUGUGUGGUAUUAACACAUAUACCGAAUGCAAAUUCCACCUUACUUAGGGCAUCUGCAAAGAGCCACUGGAAGCACCUGUUCAAAAGCAGACAUACCGUAUUUUGUUGGAAAGACAUCCUCAUCUGUCACUAGUUUCUGCACUGAGCUCAUGACAAAGUCAACAUACUGAGGAGCAGUGCACUUGAUCUUCUUUCCCCGCUCAUCAUACCAGUAGUACUGUCUGUGGAGAGAAUUGACAGUGUCACCACAUCAUACCUCGGCUCCUCAGCAAAACUCCUUUAAGAGAUUAGUACUGCACUGAACUGGAUAGAUGUACAUAUGUCACUUGGAAAGUGAAGUUUUAGGUAUACUGGCCACCAGAAGUGUCUUGAAGCCACUAAAAAAAAGUGUUACAUGGUGACUGUAAAGUUU